CCUACCCUCACCUGCCUACCCCUACCUCCUGCCCUGCCACGUGUUCUCCACCCCUCACCUACUCACGUUUUCCUCAUCCUUUUCCAUAACAGAAUGGACAAAAAGGAAACCAAUUCACAAAAAAAACUAAAAUAAAAGAGGGGGCCCAUGUGAUUAUUGGGAUUGUCCAUUCUUGAAUGGAGUAUAUAAGCAACAUUCUCACAGAGAAAAAAAAGGGGGACCAAAAAAAAUUCAUUCACAGAAAAAAGCAUGCACAACACACUACAGAGAAAAAUCACACAUAGCUCACAUGAAAAGAUCCCCAUUUCCCUAAUCAUAUACACAUACACAGCUGCACAUAUACAGACCCACACGAUCCUCCUUUAGUCUUUUAUAUACACAAAAACAAUGAUUAGCACAAAAAAUACAACAGCACAUAGAAAAUUUGAUACUCAUGUCACCGCACCUAAUGGGAUAGAGAAUCGAGAGAGAAUAGAGAUUGAAGAAGAGAGAAUCUGGGAGAGAGAUAAGAAUCAUAGUGAGGGAGGUGUUUCUCCGGUGAGUUUAGACACUACUCCGUCAGGACUCAUCGGGAAACAACAUGGCCGGCGAUAAAUUCGAUCCGAACUCACACCAAACGACACUUCUAUUUUUUAUUUCUUUUUGGGUUAUCGUGGGUCUUCUUUCGAAUUGUAUUUUGAGGGAGAUAAUCAUGAAAGAAACAGGAGCAGUAGAAACUAAAAUUCGAGAAAAGGGGAAAUAACAGAUAUUGGGCUUUUUCAGCGAAAGCUCACUGGAAUUAGCUACUGUUCAUUCGAGUUCAGGCACCUUCGAUCUAAAAUUUAUCUCUCAUCAUCAAAAACUCUAAACCAGCAUCUGAACUAACCCAAAAUCAACUUGUUUGGAUUGAUUCCGUCGAGAAAUUGCGUACGAGUUUUUGGUUUGAAAUUUUGUUUGGGGUCGCGUUUGGUGUUUGUAUUAAUGUCAUGCCAUUGUUAUUGAAUCUAUCCAGAUCUGUAUUUCUCAGUAUUGAGUUUGGAGUUUUUUUUGCUGACGAGGUUCGAAUCGGGUUCUCGUGCGCGGUUCUAUCUCCGAUAUAUAUUGAAAGCGACACUUGAGGAUGUUUGAACAAAGACCAGGACCUUCUACUGCUGUAGCUGAAUGUAAUGCUGCAACUACUGCAGGCAAAACAUUACUUGCUUCUGACAAUCGUGAGAUGUGGAUUAUUGAUACUGGUGCAACUGCUCAUAUAACGUCUAGUCUGGAUAUGUCGGCUAAGGAGUUUAUCUCUAUUCUUGAUUCACCUAAGCAUGUAUAUCUUUCUAAUGGUCAUGCUAGAUCAACCACAUGAAGCACUUUUUGAUGCCGUGCUUGAUCAAAUUCAUCCUAAUGAUGAUAUUCAACCAAAUGUUGUAGCUUUGCCUAAGUUGUAGGCUCAAGUUUCACUUAAAUACAGAGUUAAGGUUGAGGCUGAGGCUAGAAGAUCUACAAGGAGUAAACAUAAACCUACAUGGUAGCUCUUGAUGGAUACAAUGGCGAAUGAAGCUGAAAUGCCUAGUUGGGUUAAAUUCAUCAUGGCAAGACUUGAUGCCAUAGAUAGGCGAAUAAUGGACAGAAUGAAAGGAAGAUUGGAAGGGAUGGAAGGCUCUCUGUGCAAGAAGUUGGAUAACUUGAUGGAGCAUCCAAGCCUUCCUAAUCAAAUUCCCUUGAGUGGCCAUGAUCCACAUGAGCUACAAGGUAAUCAAACUAAAUUUUGCACUCUAGUGAAUGAGGAUAAUAGCCAACUAAGUAUGGAUGACAGUUUGGCUCUAAAUGAGCCGAAUGUGCCUUCAUUUUGUGAUGAUAAUGUACAACUUGAGAUUGUGGAUACACUAGUUGAUUCACCUAGUGUUGAAGCCAUUGUGGAAAGUGGUAGUACAUUGUCUUAUGGAAGUCAUGAAGAUCAACUUGUGUGUAAAAAUGAUGAUGUUGAACAUGUUGGCCGAAUGACUAAGGAUGACCCUUUAGUUGUUUUUGUUAUUGAUCAUGAUAGUAAAGAGGGGAAAUUUGAUCAUUAUUGUAUUAGUGUUGGGGUAAGGAAGUGUAUUCCCAACCCGUGCCCAUGGACACUCUAGCCAUUUGAUUCCGGUGAUCAUUUGAAGUGUGGUGAUGAGGAUGUCUUUUGGAAUAACUUGAAUGUACAUAGCGUGUAUGGCUUUCCUCUCUCGGCUUUCAAGUCUAAUUGUUGUUCCAAGAAGAGUCUAUGUUUUCCACUUGAUAAGCGACACUUGUUCCUUGUUUCUUAUCACACUUAUGUGGAUAAAUUAGUUGAUUCUCCCUUGGUAGGGUAUUCGGGUAAGAGAGAUGUUUGGGUAUAUGUGAAGUUUGAGCCACCUUGGUAAGAUACUAUGAUUGAUUACACUAAUCCUAACCCUCAUACUUUGAGGAACUUUUGUUUUCUUGUCCUUCCUAUUGCUUUGCAAGGUUUAGAUUCAAGGACGAAUCCUUUCUAAGGAGGAGAGGAUGAUACGGGUACGAUCAUGAUCGGGGUCCAAUGCGUCAAGAAUUGAGCUUGGGGGGCUGCCCAUCCAAGGAACAAGCUUUGAAGUGUAGAGAACAAGUCCCACAAGCUCCAAAACUAUUUCACUGUUCAUCCGCCCUUUGCAAGGGUUUUUUAGUCAUUUGUAAUAAGUUAACCUAGGUAUAAAUAGAUCCUCAUUAGGUCAUUUUUGGGAGAUUUUUGGAGAAUAUAUUUUGUAGCCUCUUUGAGAGUCUUUAGCUAGGUGGAAUCCUUGGACCAGAUGGAGUCCUUGUGUUGAUCAUUUGCUUAGAAACAGAGAUUGCUUGGGAAUUCCGGUUCCCUUGAGGUCAUAUAAGAGAUAGGUUUAGGUUGUGUGUGAUAUUAAAGGUCCAAAAGUGAAAUAAGCUUUUGGGUUGUUAAUAUUAUACCAUACCUUGGUCUAUCUAUCUAUCUGUCUAUCUAUCUUUACUUUCUUGUAACAGUUUGUCUAUAUCUAUGUAAUCCAUUUGUGUUCUAGUCUUGUAACCGUGUGUUGUUAUUGUUG